rnacentral:rRNA from 1 species
GAAACAUAAGUGGCAUCACUGAGUUUUGAAAGAAUUUCGGUGGAGGAUGACUUCGCGGCCUAUCAGCUAGUUGGUGAGGUAAUGGCUCACCAAGGCAACGACGGGUAGCCGGCCUGAGAGGGCGACCGGCCACACUGGGACUGAGACACGGCCCAGACUCCUACGGGAGGCAGCAGUGGGGAAUAUUGGGCAAUGGAGGAAACUCUGACCCAGCGACGCCGCGUGCGGGAUGAAGGCCUUCGGGUUGUAAACCGCUUUCAGUAGGGAAGAAGCGAAAGUGACGGUACCUACAAAAGAAGCACCGGCUAACUAUGUGCCAGCAGCCGCGGUAAUACAUAGGGUGCAAGCGUUGUCCGGAAUUAUUGGGCGUAAAGAGCUCGUAGGUCGUUUGUUACGUCGGAUGUGAAAACCUGAGGCUCAACCUCAGGCCUGCAUUCGAUACGGGCAAACUAGAGUUUGGUAGGGGAGACUGGAAUUCCUGGUGUAGCGGUGGAAUGCGCAGAUAUCAGGAGGAACACCAAUGGCGAAGGCAGGUCUCUGGGCCAAUACUGACACUGAGGAGCGAAAGUCUGGGGAGCGAACAGGAUUAGAUACCCUGGUAGUCCAGACCGUAAACGGUGGGCACUAGUUGUGGGAACCUUCCACGGUUUCUGCGACGCAGCUAACGCAUUAAGUGCCCCGCCUGGGGAGUACGAUCGCAAGAUUAAAACUCAAAGGGAAUUGACGGGGCCCCGCACAAGCAGCGGAGCAUGCGGCUUAAUUCGACGCAACGCGAAGAACUUUACCAAGGCUUGACAUAUAGGGAAAAGUGGCA